GUGCCAGCAGCCGCGGUAAUACAGAGGGUGCGAGCGUUAAUCGGAGUUACUGGGCGUAAAGGGCGCGUAGGCGGUUGUUUAAGUGAGAUGUGAAAUCCCUGGGCUUAACCUAGGAACUGCAUCUCAUACUGAAUAGCUAGAGUAUUGUAGAGGGUAGUGGAAUUUCCGGUGUAGCGGUGAAAUGCGUAGAGAUCGGAAGGAACACCAGUGGCGAAGGCGGCUACCUGGACAAAUACUGACGCUGAGGCGCGAAAGCGUGGGGAGCAAACAGGAUUAGAAACCCCGGUAGUCC
rnacentral:rRNA from 1 species